rnacentral:rRNA from 1 species
UACGAAGGGGGCUAGCGUUGCUCGGAAUCACUGGGCGUAAAGGGUGCGUAGGCGGGUCUUUAAGUCAGGGGUGAAAUCCUGGAGCUCAACUCCAGAACUACCUUUGAUACUGAAGAUCUUGAGUUCGGGAGAGGUGAGUGGAACUGCGAGUGUAGAGGUGAAAUUCGUAGAUAUUCGCAAGAACACCAGUGGCGAAGGCGGCUCACUGGCCCGAUACUGACGCUGAGGCACGAAAGCGUGGGGAGCAAACAGGG